CCUGUUUGGGACUUGUAUAGGCAGUACAUCAUACACAUUCUUAUCAAUGUCUGGAUAUGUCAAUAAUAAUUAUUACUGAUUAGUGGCUAGACAUUUGGUUUACAGACAUUUUGCAAUUUCACACAAAUACACAAUGUAUUAUAUCAUGGUUUUCAAAACUGACAUCAUAUAAUAAUAUGAUGUAAGUACCUACGAGGAACUAGGAAGUCCAGCAAAUGUAUUGACAAUUUUUGAUAAGUCUAUUUUAUUUAAGACAAUUCUACAGAACAAGUAGGUAUACAUUAUAAAUAUUGCAAUUCAAGUAAUAAAAACAUUAAUAUUAAAGUGAAUACUAAAAGAUAAGAAUAUAAUUGUGGGUACAUCAUGUGAUUUCAUUGAUUUAUUAAUUUAAAAGUAAUAUAUUGCGGAGCCAGUAUCUAAUUUUAAUAGCACGGAGCAUCUGAACAUAUUUAAAUUUCAAAGAACACAUAACAAGUUUGGAAAUUCAGUGUUCUGAAAAUUGGAUGUGAUUCAUUCUGGGACAUUGCUGUCAGCAAAAGAGGGUUUCCAAGUUCCAGAUUAAAUAGGAUAUCAAUGUAUAACAUGGACUACUCAAUUAUGUUUUCUUCAGUUCAUACAUAUAUUUUGUCAUUACCAGUUUCGGAUAGAUGAAAUUACACUACUGAAUAAUGAUUAAUUUUAAUAAUAAUUUUAUCAUUUUUGAAAUGAAUUAUGAUUGCGAGGAAUGAAAUAUUAAAUUAUUGCUAAGAUUGAUAUACCAUUGUCCAACUGUGAAGAAGUAGGUAGGUAGCCAAUUUUAAAAGUGCAGAUCUUUGAAGACCAGGAUGUGUAAAUGUGAAUUGGAAAGUGGCAACAUACACCUAGUUCAGACUUCAGAAAUUUAGUUAGACAUGAUUUAUGGAAAUUGGAUUCAUUAAUUUUUGGACAUUCAAAACUAUACCAUACUACUAUUGUCUGAUUGUGAAGAAGUAGGUAGCUAAUUUUAAUAGUGCAGAUCUUAGAAGACCAGGAUGUGUAGAUGUGAAUUGGAAAGCGGCAACAUAUACCUAGUUCAGACUUUAGAAAUUUAGUUAGACAUGAGUUAUGGAAAUUGGAUUCAUUAAUUUUUGGUCAUUCAAAGUAGCUUUAGAAACCCUAAUAAAUGUAUUUUCUAUCUAAUAAUUGUAUUAAAUAUAAUUAAAUAAGAUUUUAUAUUUAACUUAUGA